rnacentral:piRNA from 1 species
UGCUCUCCAAGACAUAACCUGAUGGCC